rnacentral:rRNA from 1 species
UGGGGAAUAUUGCACAAUGGGCGCAAGCCUGAUGCAGCCAUGCCGCGUGUAUGAAGAAGGCCUUCGGGUUGUAAAGUACUUUCAGCGGGGAGGAAGGGAGUAAAGUUAAUACCUUUGCUCAUUGACGUUACCCGCAGAAGAAGCACCGGCUAACUCCGUGCCAGCAGCCGCGGUAAUACGGAGGGUGCAAGCGUUAAUCGGAAUUACUGGGCGUAAAGCGCACGCAGGCGGUUUGUUAAGUCAGAUGUGAAAUCCCCGGGCUCAACCUGGGAACUGCAUCUGAUACUGGCAAGCUAGAGUCUCGUAGAGGGGGGUAGAAUUCCAGGUGUAGCAGUGAAAUGCGUAGAGAUCUGGAGGAAUACCGGUGGCGAAGGCGGCCCCCUGGACGAAGACUGACGCUCAGGUGCGAAAGCGUGGGGAGCAAACAGG